GCACCGGAGCAGAGCUAGGAGUCGCCAAUCCUGUGAGUAAAGUCAUUUAAUCAUUGCGCUAUGCUAGUUGAUUUAUAAUAUGCUAUUUUGAAAGUUCAUGCUUAAUAUGGUUAUUAGUUUCGCAACGUAAAUAAUUUCACUGAAUUACUAAUUAUUAAAGGUAAUAUAAGUAUUAUUAUAGUAAUGUUAUAAUAAUUCCAAAUAUCAUCAGUUUUCCACCUGAGCUGCCUAAUGUUUUACUCUUAAUUGUUAAUCAUUAAUUUGAUAUGGUUGAAUGACUUCAUUAUACAAUGAUAUUUAUUAAAUGGAUGAUUAUGUCUUGGGAAACGUGGCUUGUAGAACAUGCCGCCUGAUGGGUUACAUCAGGACCGCGUGCGCACCGGUAAUGAUCAUGGACAUAAGGUUAUUAUGGAUUUGUUUGCCCUGAUCGAGCAUUGCUCUCUGGGCUGAGUUCAGUUGAUUGCCGGAGUUAAGGUCCCUGAUCGAGCUUGCUCUCUGGGCGCCGGCUUAUUUGGAAUUCAAGUGUUCAGGCUGGAGGUAAGGACCCUGAUCGAGCUUGCUCUCUGGGCGCCGGACCUGUUGGAUUAAGAGAGCCGAAAGGCUACUAGAAUUUGGGGUUUAGGUUUCUACCGAGCCACUCGUCCCGUAAAAGUAAAUAUAUAUUUUUAUUUAUUUAUUUAUUAUGGUAUUUGGUUAUAAUGUGAUUUGUAUUUACGUGCAUGGUUGAUAUUUUGAUUCGAAUGAUUAAUAUUUUAUGUGAUGGAAAUAGUAGGGUACGAUUACAGUAUGGUUUGAUAUACUGAUUUGAAUAAUCUAUGUUUUCUGAGAAGAAGCAAUAGUCCCUAGAUUAUUUGAUUUUAACUCACUCUCGAGACUGACAGUCUCAUUUUUACUGUUUUUCAGAUUUGUGACUGUUAGUUCUCCCGCGACUCUUAUUCAGUAACCCGACUCCUUCAUCAUCGGGUGACGUAUCUGAUUUGGUAUGUAAAUUGGUAAAUCUUAGAUUCUUCGCAGUAGUAAUAGUAGAUGUAUCAGUUGUAAAUUUUUCUGAGCUUCGGGUCUCGCCUAGUUUUUCUGGCAGACCGAAGUAUUUAUGUAGAAUGCAGCUAUUAAGAUGAUUUGUAGUUUUAAUAAUAUUAAUUUGAGAUGAGAUUUGUUUAAAUCAGUGAGUGUCAGGCUUACUACGGGUUUCGGUGGCCUUAAGCCUACCCAUUCCCUAGUGCCGGUCACGGGCCCACGGGUGGGGUCGUGACAGUUUCAUUUACUGCAUUAUGAUUUAUGUUUUUGUUUUGACUUGGGAUAGGACGGCUGUAGAAUAUGCUAUUUGAUGAGUUGCGCCGGUAUGAAUCAGAGACAAAAAAAUAAAGGAGUAACGGUUUGUAAAUUUUUAAAAGGUAAAUUUAGGACUUAUCUUGGUCGAGCAUUGCUCUCUCGGCUGAGUAGAGUGAGUUUACCGGAGUAAAGGUCCCUGGUCGAGCAUUGCUCACUAGGCGCCGGCUUAUUUAGAAACCUAAGUGACUAGACUAGAGCUAAGGACCCUAGUCGAGCUUCGCUCUCUGGGCGCCAGUCUUAUUGGAGUAAGAGAGCCUAAAGGCUAAGACUGAUAGUGAUAAUUAAGUGACCGGACUGGAGUCAAGGACCCUGGUCAAGCUUCGCUCUCUGGGUGUCAGUUCUAUUGGAAUGAGAGAGUCGAGAUGUUAGUAUUGGGAUUAGGGUUCUACUGAAGUACUCCGUCCCGUAGUAUGUGAAAGUUAUUUUUUUAUUUUAUUCUUAUUUAAGCAUGGCAUAUCACGUAUAUUUUUGCAUGACUUAAUGUUUAUUUCAAAUUAAAUAAAUAUGUUAUUGAAGUGUUUGAAAUUAUUUUUGGAUAUAUGAUUUUAACUCACUCUUGAGACUAACAGUCUCAUUUUUCACUAUUUUUCAGGUGAUUGUCAGUCUUCCCGUAGUUCUCAUCUAGUAACCCGACUCCUUCAUUAUCAGGUUGAUAUAAUUGAUUUUGGUAUGCUUGACUUGUAAAAUUUUAGAUUCUCCGCAGUAGAAAUAUUAGAUUUAAUAGUUGUAAUUUUAUAUAAAUUCAAGUCUCGCCUAAUUAUGCUGGUGGACCGAAUUUAAUUUAUCGUACCCGUUGAUAUAAGAUUAAUUAUGGAAAAAGUGCUAAGAAUUGAGUUUGGAUUUUAACUUGAUUGAGUUAGUGAAUAGUCAGGCUUACUACGGGAUUUGGUGGCCUUAAGCCUACCCAUUCCCUAGUGCCGGUCACGGGCCCACAAGUCGGGUCGUGAUACUAGUCAUCCUCCACUAUCUUUUUUCACUUCUAUCCCUAACCCUAAAGUUCACCUACUCAAUUUUUUCUCUCUUUUCAUUUUACAUCUAAGGUAAAAUUAAAAGUGUGUCAAAAUUCA
rnacentral:lncRNA from 1 species